UACGUAGGUGGCAAGCGUUGUCCGGAAUUAUUGGGCGUAAAGCGCGCGCAGGCGGCUUCUUAAGUCUGAUGUGAAAUCUUGCGGCUCAACCGCAAGCGGUCAUUGGAAACUGGGAGGCUUGAGUGCAGAAGAGGAGAGUGGAAUUCCACGUGUAGCGGUGAAAUGCGUAGAGAUGUGGAGGAACACCAGUGGCGAAGGCGGCUCUCUGGUCUGUAACUGACGCUGAGGCGCGAAAGCGUGGGGAGCAAAC
rnacentral:rRNA from 1 species